AGGCUUCUGCGACAAUCGGUUCAUGUGUCAAAGAACGCAGCUAACUGCGAGAAUCAAUGUGAAUUGUAGGACAUAUUGAUCAUCACUUUGAACACCCUUGCAGCCCCAGGUUCCUGCUGGAGCUUUAUUUCAAAAAAUUUGG
rnacentral:rRNA from 1 species